CCUACGGGGGGCAGCAGUGAGGAAUAUUGGUCAAUGGCCGAGAGGCUGAACCAGCCAAGUCGCGUGAGGGAAGAAUGUCCUAUGGAUUGUAAACCUCUUUUGUCAGGGCCCGAUGAGAGUACCCGGAGAAAAAGCAUCGGCUAACUCCGUGCCAGCAGCCGCGGUAAUACGGAGGAUGCGAGCGUUAUCCGGAUUUAUUGGGUUUAAAGGGUGCGUAGGCGGGCUGUUAAGUCAGCGGUCAAAUGUCGGGGCUCAACCCCGGCCUGCCGUUGAAACUGGCGGCCUCGAGUGGGCGAGAAGUAUGCGGAAUGCGUGGUGUAGCGGUGAAAUGCAUAGAUAUCACGCAGAACUCCGAUUGCGAAGGCAGCAUACCGGCGCCCGACUGACGCUGAGGCACGAAAGCGUGGGUAUCGAACAGGAUUAGAUACCCGGGUAGUC
rnacentral:rRNA from 1 species